AGGGGGUUUGAUCCUGGCUCAGGGUGAACGCUGGCGGCGUGGAUAAGGCAUGCAAGUCGAAUGGGGCAUUUAGCCCCAUGGCAGACGAGGUAGUAACACGUAGGUUACGUACCCUAUAGUCGGGCAUAAUCAGUCGAAAGAUUGGAUAAUUCCCGAUAGUCCCUUCGGGGUAAAGAUUUAUCGCUAUAGGAACGGCCUGCGAGAUAUCAGCUUGUUGGUAGUGUAAAGGACUACCAAGGCUAUGACGUCUAGGGGAGGUGAGAGCCUGACCCCCACCGAUGGGACUGAGACACGGCCCAUACUCCUACGGGAGGCCGCAGUCGAGAAUCUUCCGCAAUGGGCGAAAGCCUGACGGAGCGACGCCGCGUGAUUGAUGAAGCACUUCGGUGCGUAAAAAUCUUUUAUCAGGGACGAAGUUUAUUGACGGUACCUGAUGAAUAAGGGGCUCCCAAACUCGUGCCCAGCAGGA
rnacentral:rRNA from 1 species